rnacentral:rRNA from 1 species
AUUGAACGCUGGCGGCAUGCUUUACACAUGCAAGUCGAACGGCAGCACAGGGAGCUUGCUCCUGGGUGGCGAGUGGCGAACGGGUGAGUAAUGUAUCGGAACGUGCCUGGUCGUGGGGGAUAACUACUCGAAAGAGUGGCUAAUACCGCAUGAGAUCUUUGGAUGAAAGCGGGGGACCUUCGGGCCUCGUGCUACUGGAGCGGCCGAUAUCAGAUUAGGUUGUUGGUGGGGUAAAGGCCUACCAAGCCUGCGAUCUGUAGCUGGUCUGAGAGGACGACCAGCCACACUGGGACUGAGACACGGCCCAGACUCCUACGGGAGGCAGCAGUGGGGAAUUUUAGACAAUGGGCGCAAGCCUGAUCCAGCAAUGCCGCGUGCAGGACGAAGGCCUUCGGGUUGUAAACUGCUUUUGUACAGAGCGAAAAGUCUCUGGCUAAUAUCUAGAGAUCAUGACGGUACUGUAAGAAUAAGCACCGGCUAACUACGUG